UGUAACCUACCUAUAACAGGGGCAUAACACUGAGAAAUUGGUACUAAUUCCCCAUAAUAUUCGGAGAGGCAUCUCUCCGGGUUGAAAACUCCGGUGGUUAUAGAUGGACAUGCGUUGUAUUAGCUAGUUGGUGAGGUAACGGCUCACCAAGGCAACGAUACAUAGGGGGACUGAGAGGUUAACCCCCCACACUGGUACUGAGACACGGACCAGACUCCUACGGGAGGCAGCAUG
rnacentral:rRNA from 1 species